rnacentral:rRNA from 1 species
AACGAACGCUGGCGGCAUGCCUAACACAUGCAAGUCGAACGGGAUCCAGGCUUCGGCCUGGUGAGAGUGGCGGACGGGUGAGUAACACGUGGGAACCUGCCUUUUGGUUCGGGAUAACCGCGGGAAACUGCGGCUAAUACCGGAUGCUCCCGAGAGGGGGAAAGAUUUAUCGCCAGAAGAGGGGCCCGCGUCCGAUUAGGUAGUUGGUGAGGUAAUGGCUCACCAAGCCGACGAUCGGUAGCUGGUCUGAGAGGAUGAUCAGCCACACUGGGACUGAGAUACGGCCCAGACUCCUACGGGAGGCAGCAGUGGGGAAUAUUGGGACAAUGGGGGCAACCCUGAUCCAGCAAUGCCGCGUGAGUGAUGAAGGCCUUAGGGUUGUAAAGCUCUUUUGCCAGGGAAGAUGAUGACUGUACCUGGAGAAUAAGCCCCGGCUAACUUCGUGCCAGCAGCCGCGGUAAU